rnacentral:rRNA from 1 species
AGACUUUGAUCCUGGCUCAGAUUGAACGCUGGCGGCAUGCCUAACACAUGCAAGUCGAACGGUAACGACGGGAGCUUGCUCCCGGGCGACGAGUGGCGGACGGGUGAGUAAUACUUAGGAAUCUGCCCAGUAGUGGGGGACAACUCGAGGAAACUCGAGCUAAUACCGCAUACGCCCUACGGGGGAAAGCGGAGGAUCUUUCGGGACUUCGCGCUAUUGGAUGAGCCUAAGUCGGAUUAGCUUGUUGGUGGGGUAAAGGCCUACCAAGGCGACGAUCUGUAGCUGGUCUGAGAGGACGAUCAGCCACACUGGGACUGAGACACGGCCCAGACUCCUACGGGAGGCAGCAGUGGGGAAUAUUGGACAAUGGGGGCAACCCUGAUCCACCAAUGCCGCGUGUGUGAAGAAAGCCUGCGGGUUGUAAAGCACUUUCAGUAAAGAAGAAAAGCUCAUGGUUUAUACCCGUGAGUUUUGACGUAACCUACAGAAGAAACACCCGNUUACUUCGUGCCAACAACCCCNGUAAUACCGGANGGUGCAAACCGUUAAU